GGGGGUGGGGGGGACACGGCGCCCUCGUGUGACGCUGCGUGGUGUGGCCACUUCGAGGGCCUCAUAGCAGGAUGAAUUGGAGUCUAUCUGUAUUUCAUACACCAGUAACAUAUCUACCUCUAUAUAUCUGAUAUUACGCUAGCAUGCAGAAUGGAACAGCCUUGGCGAUAGGGCAGUGCAGAGCUGCUCUGGACUGUGACGUGCAGAUGCAGCUUCAUUGACGUACGUCCGUCGGGGGAUUGCGGGGCGGCGGCUUUUUCCUUUCUCCUCUUGCUUCCUCUGUUCGCUUGCCCUGACCCUUAAAUCGCAUCGUGUGUGCAGCCGCCGUGCACGCUAGUGACGUACCUGCGACACAGACACCUCAAAUUACCGAUCGUCAGCUCUGCCUUUGGAGAAAAUGAGGCCCCGCCCCCUUUUGCUGAUGUCAGCAUUCGUGCCUUUUAUCUCGCUGUGUGCGGCUACAUGGCACACAGGGGUUGGGAAGCCUUACACAGGGAGCAUGGUGGCUGUUUGGUUUUGCUCCGCUCUAAGGAAGGAGGUGAGAUUCAAACCUGUUCGACUGCUGCUAGGUUGGGCCACCAGCCACAUGUCAGGUUCUGUGUGUCGGGGGGGAUGCGCAUUCUGACGGAUAUGUGGGAUGUGCGGCUUCCCUGUGCUCACGCCGGUGUUUAGGAUAUAUGCCUGAUCACAUUCUAAUACCCUUUGUAUUUUUAAUUAUUGCUUUCUACGUAAAUCUGUUUUCUGACACAACUGCAGCCCCAUCUUCAGCUCCUCUGACAGCCUUUUUGACUAAUUAUUCUAGGAUAAUUACCUAGUUUUUAGAAGAACAUAAUCGUAUUUUAAUUACUGUACGUCAUUAACAAAUUAGAUGAGGGCUUUUCCACUGUCCUGAUUAAGCCGUUCGAAGCAGGCUCAUGUUUAUCGCUGUAAUAUCAUUUCUCUUUAUGUUUUCAGUCAUUUCUCCUGGAAUGUCAGGUUCAUGCUGGCAGGAUGUAACUGAGGCAGUUAUCCCGCUGUCACUGUCAUUAGACGUUACCGAAGUAUAGCAAACCUUAAGAUACUUGAUAGGGAAGUAAAUGGAUGCACAGACGUGUGACAUUUUUGCCCUUGUUUGUUAUUUUAAAAGCUUGCUUAAAGUUUCCUGCUGUGGCUGUUGAAUGGAAGGCAACAUUUUUUUAAGAGUGAGAGCUACCUUUGCAUAGAAAAUAGUCUGACAAACUACGGGGAAGUCCAGGUUGGGAGAACUCUGCUUCCAUCAGGCAGGACAACGAGUAAGAAAGCAGAACACCCAGUGAGAAAGAGCUCCGCCCCCAUGAGGCAGGGCACCCAGUGAUAAAGAGCUCCGCCCCCAUGAGGCAGGACACCCAGUGAGAAAGAGCUCCGCCCCCAUGAGGCAGGACACCCAGUGAGAAAGAGCUCCGCCCCCAUGAGGCAGGACACCCAGUGAUAAAGAGCUCCGCCCCCAUGAGGCAGGACACCCAGUGAGAAAGAGCUCCGCCCCCAUGAGGCAGGGCACCCAGUGAUAAAGAGCUCCGCCCCCAUGAGGCAGGACACCCAGUGAGAAAGAGCUCCGCCCCCAUGAGGCAGGACACCCAGUGAUAAAGAGCUCCGCCCCCAUGAGGCAGGACACCCAGUGAGAAAGAGCUCCGCCCCCAUGAGGCAGGACACCCAGUGAGAAAGAGCUCCGCCCCCAUGAGGUAGGCCACCCAGUGAGAAAGAGCUCCGCCCCCAUAAGGCAGGACACCCAGUGAGAAAGAGCCCCACCUCCAUGAGGCAGGUCACUCAGUGGGAAACAGCUCCACCCCUAUUAAGCAGGACAUUGAGUGGGAAAUAGCUCCGACCCCAUGAGGCAGGACACUCAGUGGGAAACAGCUCCGACCCCAUGAGGCAGGACACCCAGUGUGAAAGAGCUCCGAUUCCAUGAGACACGACACUCAGUGGGAAACAGCUCCGACCCCAUGAGACACGACACUCAGUGGGAAACAGCUCCGACCCCAUGAGACACGACACUCAGUGGCAAACAGCUCCGACUCCAUGAGGCAGGACACUCAGUGGGAAACAACUCUGACCCCAUGAGGCAGGACACUCAGUGGGAAACGACUCCGCCUCCAUGAGGCAGGACAUCCAAUGGGAAAGAGCUCCGCCUCCAUGAGGCAGAACAUCCAAUGGGAAAGAGCUGCUGGGACAGGGACUGGUUCCCAUGUCUACAAGAAAGAUGUGACUUUACUGUCUGUCAGCAAGAGCCCAACAGCAGGCGGGAUUUGGACUCUGAAGCCAUGUGUUUACUGUCUCCUUACAAGCCAACUGACAACCACACGGUCGUGGUCAUUGUCCGCCUCAGUGUUGCUCAGAAACACCAAUUUCAUAUUCAACAAAUAUUUCCCACUUUCCCGAGCAAUGUGGAUUUUUCUCUCGCAUCAGCAUUGUUUUGCUGCCCUGCAUCAGCACUGCAGCAUUGCCGUAGCUGCAGCCCCGCUGGAGCAGCCCGUGAUCUGUGAUUCGCGACUCAUCCACUGAAUAAUCCUGCUCCCGGGAAGCCCGUGACAUUUUGCCAGUUCUGUGUGGUAUGACUCCAGGUGCAUCAGGUAAAUUGAACGUUAGAUUUGCAGAUUUGGAGAUUACUGUAUCUAACUGCAAAUACAAAAAUAUCCACAAGCCCCAGACGUUAUGUAGCUAAUAUUUUUCAUAAACUUAGAAUCAUAUACACUAUCAGUCAAUAGUUCUGGCACACCACAGGUUUUUACCACUUUUCCACUUAUUUCAUAAACUGCAGAUUUUUUAUUCUUGUUAAGUAAGGGAAGAUGAGUGAACAACUAUAAAUGAAAAUAUAAUUCAAAUAAAACAAAUUACCUUUAUGACAUAUAAGGAGUAUGUAACAGUGCAUGUCUGACACCCUAUUAACUGGCUGUGUGGUGAUGGCAGAGUCAAAUUAUAGGCUGUGUUUUAACUUUAAAUGCACUAAUUAACUGUUUCAUGCCAUGAAGCAGAGCAGUAUUUAAUGCCCCUUGUACAAACAAUGCCUCGAAUUUUCUCUGCUGGUAUAACUGCUGGAGGAGGUUACUUUGAUUAAUCAAAGAUGUGACAUUUUCUUAGUAAUAAAGGUACUCAAAUGGUGAACAUACUGUAAAUGUAUUUGUUAGUAAAGAAUAUUUUGUGUCUUCUUAAUAAAUGUUA